UGGGUUGCUCAAUCAGUUCCUGUGGCUGGCACGUUUUCCACCACGAGGUCUACGAAGAAAGAAGCAGUAACGAGCGGGGCAAUGCGUGCCCUGGACACGCUGGACCACGGAUUUAAUUCCGUUCUCGCGUCAGAAAGCUUAAAUUAAGAUGUCUGAUACCUCGAGGCUGUACUUACAUCCCAAAAAAGGUCUGGUCCCAUAUAACCAGUAUUUAGUGUAAAAAGAAUUCAUAAAAAUCACUAGCUUUCACCGUCGUUACGCGAGAAUCUCCUCUGAAAGUAGCUAAAGUCACGCGACAUCUGUAAAUAUCAUGUAAAUAAUAGGUACUAACAAAUAUGAGAUUAUAAAACAACACUUUCUUUCGCUUUUUACUUCCUUAUUCUAGCAUUUAUCGAUCCAACUGCGAAAUCACGAAAAUCCCUAGACUAAACGGCUGUUCUCCAUGUACUUCUUACGAUCGAGCGAUUUUUUCGAAUUCCUAGUAACAGUUUCAUCCUCGCAGAGGAGUUGCACGAAGCAGCAGGAAUAAUUGGUCCAUCGACGUUUCGAAGAUUACAGAUUGCACGCUGUGGAUCGUCAGGAAAGGCACGCCGUCCGUCCUUUCGAGUGUUUUGUUACGAUUCGGUUCGUUGGCUAGAACGCAGGAAAUAUCGAUCUCUUUCUACGUUUCCUUGACCGUGGCUUCGACCAAAGAGAUCCCACGGAAGAGCCAUGAUUUAUUCCCGCUAGGGGGAGCUCUGGGAUCGCUGGUUUUGCUGCGUUGUAUCGCGAAAUAGUCAGGAAGAAGUUAAAAGAAACGUAUCCUGCCGGUGAUUGACAAACUUUCUUCUUUUUAUGGGACAAAUGACAUGGUCGAUCACCGGAAAUUAUUAUUUCCAUUUGUUUCGACGAACAUGUUAUUAGGACAUGACGAUCGGAUUCAAUCCCCUAUGAUAAUUGAAAGGCUUAAACCUAAUGAGGAUUCUCAUUGACAAAUGAUCGAAGAAAUGUAAUUUAAAAAAUUAGAAAAUUGCGUAUCUCUUACAUGUUUGUUGAACUUUUGGUGAAUUCGUACAGGUGGCGUUAGCCUAACUUGUUUCUGCUCAAAUCUGACCUUAAAUAAUACCUAUGGAAUAGUUAGGAUUCACACAAUUGGUCAGGUGUCUAUUGCUUGAUAAAUGUUGAGAAAGGUAUCUGUUGUUGUUAAUAACUAAUAAUUGGUGUUAUCAGAAGGAGCUAUCAGAAGUAAGAUUCAGAGGAAAUUGUGUUACAGAGCAACAGUUAUGCAAUGUCGUACUAUUGACUGUACAGAAAUCCCACGGAAAUGGGCAAUGGAUGUAGUGGGCUAUUUAUUUGUAGGGAUCCAAAAUCCACCUUCCUAGUUUUAUUAUUAAAAGGUAAUACAAAAUUGAAUGCACACAAUGACCUAAAUAGGCAGUCCCUAACUUGGAAUUAUAUCAAGUUCCCUAAUUUGCAAAUUACAUCAAUGAUGGUCAGACUACACAUUUGGUCAGGAGUCUAGCAACAUUGACCAGAAGAAGAUACUAACUAGCAAAAUGAUUUGGUUCUGUCACCUCCUCUGCACAGUACAACUGUAAAUACUCUACAUAAAUAUUUAAAAGAACGAUGAAAAAUAUUCCUACACUGAUUGAAUAAGAUUUGAUAGAUUGCAGGUCUUUCAUGUCCUCAAAUUAUUGCUAAGACCACUGUAUGUCCUCAACCAUGUCUAAAACCGUUGCAGUUAUACGUUUCAAUAAAAAAUCUCGUUCAGUCCAGGACAAUGACCGUCCAUUCUCUUGAUCCUGACAAGGGACACAUUGACAAAAUGGUCACGCACACCCAUUGGACAAUGCAACACGCGUUCGACAAGCAGUCUGUCUCGCAGUCCAAUGCACACGUAAUGAAAAUCCUUAAUGAGGACCUCAAAGAUCCCGGUGCAAUGUCGACCGUGCUUUCUGCGCACAAUGCAUGCACUCAUUACCAUUAAUUCGUGUUCUCGCCCUCUUGCAACUCGACAGCAGCCUCUCAUGGUUACGUAAAACGAAACACUAUACCCUGGACUGUGUGUAUACCUUCAUGAUCACUUAUGCUGAAAUGACAUAAUUCUCUUGGAGAGACAGGAUGCCAUUACAGUCGUGCCAUUUAUUGAAAGACAAAAUGGCUUUGGAAUGGCUUCAAAGAAGAAACUGUAUAAUUCUGUUAUUAAGACGGUCGUGCAUUUUUAAAAUUAUGUUCACGCGCAAAGUUCCACUGCAACGUUCGAUGCUUAAGAAACAAGCGAUUUACUUGUUCUUAAUAAAAAGAUGAAGCAAAAGCAGUUCCAGAGUUCAUAAACUUCCUAGUAAUUAAAUCCCCUUUUAAACUAUGAAAUCCUAUUGUUUGAAACCUUAAAUCCUAUUUUGGAGAAGUAUCGGUGAAAUCCUGCUGUACAAAU